rnacentral:rRNA from 1 species
AUUGAACGCUGGCGGCAGGCCUAACACAUGCAAGUCGAACGGUAGGCACAGAGAGCUUGCUCUUGGGUGACGAGUGGCGGACGGGUGAGUAAUGUCUGGGAAACUGCCCGAUGGAGGGGGAUAACUACUGGAAACGGUAGCUAAUACCGCAUAACGUCGCAAGACCAAAGUGGGGGACCUUCGGGCCUCACACCAUCGGAUGUGCCCAGAUGGGAUUAGCUAGUAGGUGGGGUAAUGGCUCACCUAGGCGACGAUCCCUAGCUGGUCUGAGAGGAUGACCAGCCACACUGGAACUGAGACACGGUCCAG